UAGUCUUCACAAAAGCAAGAGCCCCGAAAAUUGGGCUGCCAUAUAUUGGAAUCUACUACAUUGUAAUUUUAUUCACGUAUGGAACACCUGUAUAUACUUUUGAUUCUUGCUACAGAAACACAGUUCUGUAAAUGAAGAUUUCAUGACAAAGGAGAGUGUGAACUAUUUAAAAGUAACUACUUCUUUUGACAAAACUAAAGGGAACACAACUUUGUAGUUGCAGUGAAGAGCCCAUUACUGCUAUCUAGAAUGCAUCAGAGAUGCUCACUUUCAUAGCAUAGACUGAGCACAGCAUAGAAAGAGUUUCAGGCAGCUUUUCUCAAGAGAGCCAAAUUUCUAGCCCAGCCAAAAAACCUUAAGAAGAUAGAGGUCAAAUUUUGCCUCCCCUACAGUUUCUGGUUAUGAGGUUGGGAUUUCAAUGGUUGGGACACUGAGAGAUCCUGGGACAGCUGACAAAAAGCCAGCAGAAGCAUUGGUCAAGACAGCAGAAAAGAUGAACCAACAGAAUGUAAGUCCAAUGAGAAGAGCCACUAGAACAUCUGUGGGAGCACAGAGGAGAAACUGCCCAGGAGUCAAGAAAGUUUUCACAGAGGAGUUCUGGAGGUCAGAAGACUAAAAUCAAGAUAUCAGCAGGGCUGUAUUCAUUCUGGAGGCUUCAGGAAAGAAUGUAUCUUUGCCUUUUUUUAGCCUCUAGAUGCUGCCUGCAUUCCUUUCCUCAUGUCCCAUUUCUUGCCUCAUGGCUUAUUCCUUGCAGCACUCCAACUUUUUGCUUCCCCUUCAGAUCUCCUAGUACUACUUACUCUGAUUGCCUGCCUCCUCCUUUUAAGGACCCUUGUGAUUACUUCAGACCCACUCUGAUAAUACAGGAUAAUUUCCCCAUUUAAAAAUCCUUAAUCACAUCUGCAAAGUUCCUUUUGCUAUAUAUGAUAAUACUCAGUGGUUCUUGGAGGACCACUAUUCAGCCUACCACAAUCUCUUUCUCACAUUGUUCACAAAAAUAAAUUCUGAUGAAUUUCAGGCCCAUGUGUUUUUUAUUUUUAUUUUCAAAAAUAAUUUAUUUAUUUGGUUGUGCCAGGUCUUAGUUUGGUGCUAAGGAUCUUCAUUGCCACGUGCGGGAUCUUUGUUGCGGCAUGCGGGCUUUAGUUGAGGCAUGCGGGAUCUUUAGUUGCAGUAUGAAAACUCUUAGUUGUGGUAUGUGGGAUCUAGUUCCCUGACCAGGGCUCGAACCCAGGCCCCCUGCAUUGGGAGUGCAGAGUCUUAGCCACUGGACCACCAGGGAAGUCUCUCAGAUCCAUGUGUUUUUUAAAAAACAUAUCUUUCAAAUAAUAAAAGAAAAUUUAAGGGAAUAGAUUUAUUAUCCUAGAUGUAGAAAGUCCUUAAAUGAGUUUCAGAAACCUAAAUCAGAGUGACAUCAGUGAAAUUUUUAAUUUUUUUAUUAUUUUUAAUUUUAAAAAUUUUGGCCACCUGCACGGCUUGUGGGAUCUCACUCCUCUGACCAGGGAUUGAACCUGUGCCACAACAGUGAAAGCACCAAAUCCUAACCACUAGACCACCAGGGAACUCCCACAUCAGUGAAAAUUUUAAAAUAGAGAGGGAAAUCCAAAGUUCUUCCCCUCCAUAAAAGCAGUAAAUAAACUGGAAAAAGAAAACUGUCAAAACCAACUUUAUCAGAACCUCUAGAAAGUAAUAAAAAGUUUGCAACCAGGCAAAUGCUUAAUCAAGAAAAAAAAAAAAACCAGGUGAAUCUUGGUAAGACAGCUUUGUGGAAUUUUGAUUUUCACUCCUUAUCCUCCAUCCCUCACUCCCUGGUUCAUUCAGCAGCAGCUUUCAAGACAUCUUGCAUUAUAGGUUAAGUUCCAAGUGCCAGAGAGAGAAGAACAGACCUUAUUCUCAAAGAAUUAUGGUAGUUUUUUUUUUUUACUUGUCUGGUGGUUCCCUGAAAGACCAGAUCAAAGGACUUGACUUUAUUUCACCUAACUUGGAUCUCUCUCGAUGCUAAGGCAGUUACCUGGAGGUAUUUGUCAGAAACAUUUAAAGGCAAAUGUAUUAUCUGCUGCUACAUGGGGCAAAAAAUAACAGUUGGAACAAGCAAUAGAAAAGCUUGGGAGGGGAAAUCCUGGGAAAUGAGAUGCUUUGGGGAAUAAGGCUUCUGAAAAGUUCCCAAGACUCUGGAAGGGCAUUGCAUGCCCAGGGCUGGUGUGUGUUCAGAAAAGACCAGAGAAGACCCUGGGCUCUCACCUCUAGCUGGCCUUAAGUCUCUGCUCAAGCAGGAAGUGAAGUCUAAGGCAGAGUUGCUAACAUCUGGAUAAGUGUUGAAUGUGUGCCGCAACAUGCACAUGGAAACCCGUAACAAACUGGGAGGUUUUCUGUUGUUGUUUUCCAGACAUUAAAGGAAAUCUGUCAAAUCAUUAGCUGAUCAUUGAGAUAAUUGAACAGAGACUUCAGUGGCCCACAUGACCAAAAAAAAAGUGUUUACAAAAUUAAUUCAGAAAACUCAAUAAAGAAACAAACAACAACUACAACAAGCAGGAACAGCAAACCUUGGGGAGGAAAGAAUAUAAUUUCUGUAGAUGCUGCAUUAUAAUAUUCAAAAGGUACUUGUACAAAGAAGUAAAGGAAACCAGAACAAAGUCUCAUCAAAUAGAGAAUAUCAAUAAAUAAAUAGAGAUUAUUUAAAAAUGAACCAAAUAGAAAUUCUGGAGCUGAAAAAUGUAUAACUGAAAUUAAAAAUUCACUUGAGGGUUCAACAGCAGAUUUAAAUAUGCAAAAGAAAGAGUCGGUGAAAUUAAAGAUAGGUCAAUUGAAAUUAUCUGAUCUGAGGAGAACAAAGAAAAAUGAAUGAAAAAAAAUGAAGAAUCUCAGAAAUUUGUGAGACACCACCAAGCAUACCAACGUACACGUAAUUGGAGUCCCAGAAGGAGAGAAGAGAAAGGGACAGAAAGAAUGUUUGAAGAAAUAAUGGCUGAAAACCUCCUAGAUUUGAUAAAAGAUGUGAAUGGUCAUAUUCAACAAGCUCAGUGAACUUCAAGUAGGAUAAAAUCAAGGAGAUACACACCAAGAUACAUUAUAAUCAAACUGUCAAAAAUCAAAGACAAAGAGAAUCAUGAAAUCAGCAAGGGAACAAUGACUUGUCAAGUACAAGUGAUCAUCAAUAAGAUUAACAGCUGAUUUCUCAUCAGAAACCACAGAGGCCAUAGGGUAUGAGACAACAUAUUCAAAAUGCUAAAAGAAAAAAAUACCCUGUCAACCAAGAAUUAUAUAUCCAGCAAAAUGAUCUUGCAGAAAUGAAAGAGGUAUACUUAUUGCAUCAUUUUUCACAAUACCCAAUAUGUAGAAGCAACCUAAAUUCCCAUCAGUGGAUUAAAGGAUAAAGAAAAUAUUGAACAUACAUAUAAUAGAAUAUUAUUCAGUCUUAAAAAAGGAAAUCCUGUCAUAUACUACAGCAAGUAUGAACUUUGAAGACAGUAUGCUAAGUAAAAUAAUCCAAUCACAAAAAGACAAACACUCAUGAUUCCAUUUAUAUGAAAUAUCUAAAGUAAUCAAACUCAUAGAAAUGAAAUAAUAGUAGUUUCCAGGGGCUGGGGUGAGGAGGAAAUGGGAGUUGUUGUUCAAUGAAUAUAGAGUUUCAGUUAUGCAAGAUGAAAAAGUUCUAGAGAACUGUUGUACAACUAUGUGCAUAUAGUUAACAAUACUGUAACAUAUACUUAAAAAUUGUUAAGAUGGUAAAUUUAUGUCAUGUGUUGUUGUUGUUGUUUUUUAACCACACACAAGAAAAGCCUAACAAAAAAGGAAGAAACCAAGACUUUCGCAGAUAAAUAAAAACUGAGAAAUUGUUUCUGGUAAACAUUCCCCUACAAGAAAUGAAAAAAGGAGCCCUUUAAUCUGAAAUAAAAGAACACUAGAUGUAAAUUCAAAUCCACAUGAAGAAAUGUCCACUAAUAAAGGUAACCACAUAGCUAAAUAUAAAAGUCUUUUUAAAAAAAAUUUUAUUUAUUUAUUUUUGGCUUGUUGGGUCUUCGUUUCUGUGCAUGGGUUUCCUCUAGUUGCGGCGAGUGAGGGCCACUCUUCAUCGCAGUGCACGGGCGUCUCUCUGUCGCAGCCUCUCUUGUUGCAGAGCACAAGCUCCAAACACACAGGCUCAGCUCAGUAGUUGUGGCACAUGGGCCUAGUUGCUCCAUGGCAUGUGGGAUCUUCCCAGACCAGGGCUCAAGCCCGUGUCCCCUGCAUUGGCAGGCAGAUUCUCAACCACUGCGCCACCAGGGAAGCCCAAAAGUUAGUCUUAAUGUAUUUUUGGUUAUAACUUCUCUUUUUAGUCUACUCAAUUUUUAAAAAUCUACAUAAAACAAUAAUUAUAAAUCUGUGUUGGGCACAUAUUGUGUAAAAAUGUAAUUUGAGGCAAUAACAGCAUAGGGAAUGGAGGAGCUAUAUAGGAACAACGUUUUUAUAUAUUAUUGAAACUAAGUUGGUAUUAACUGAAAUUAUCUUGUUGUAAAUUAAGAUGUUAAUUGUAAUCCCAUGGGAAACCAUUAAGAAAAUAACUAGAAAAUAUAUAGUAAAGGAAUUGAAAAGAAAAAAGUGGUAUACUAGAAAAAUAUUAUUUAAUUAAUUACUAUCCGCUUAACACAAAAGAAGGCAGUAAUAGGGUAACUACAGAACAAAAAAGAUAUGAGACAUAUGUAAAACAAAUAGAAAAAUCACAAAAGUAAAUCCUUUUCUAUCAGUUAUUACAUUAAAUAUAAAUGGGUUAAACUCUCACAUUUAAAGCAGAGAUUGGCAGAAUGGAUAAAAAUUUGAUCAAACUAUAUGCUGUCUACAAGAGACUCACUUUAGAUCCAGGACACAAAUAGACUGAGAAUGAAAGAAUGGAAAAAUAUAUUUCAGUAAACAAAAGAGAGCAAACAGUAAGCAAAAGAGAAUUGGAGUGGCUAUUCUAAUAUCAGACAAAAUAGACUUUAAGACAAAAAUUGUUACACAGAUAAAGAGGGGCAUUACAUAAUAAUAAAAGAGUCAAUUCAUCAAGAAGAUACAACAAUUGCAAACAUAUAUGCAACUAACAACAGAGACCUAAAAUAUAUUAAGCAAAAACUGACAGAGUUGAAGGGAGAAAUAGACAUUUCAACAACAGUAAUUGGAGACUUCAACACCUCACUUUCAAUAAUCAAUAGAACAACUAGACAGAAGAUAAACAAGGAAAUAUAAAACUUGAAUGACUAUAAAUCAACUAGACCUAACAGACAUGUGUAGAAUACUUCAGCCAAAAACAGCAGGAUUCACAUUAUUUCCAACUGUACGUGGAACAUUCUUCAGCACAGAACAUGUUGGGUCAUGACACAAAUCUCAAUAAAGUUUAAAAUAUUAAAUGUUAUAAAGUAUCUUCUCUGACAACAAUGGAAUGAAGUUAGAAAUCAAUAAAAGAAGAAAAUCUGGAGAUUCACAAAUAUGUGGAAAUUAAACUACACAGUCUUAAACAAGCAAUGGGUCAAAGAAUAAAUACAAAAGGAAAUUAGAAAAUACCUUGAGAUGAAUGAAAACAGAAACACAACAUACCAAAACGUAUGAGAUGCAGCGAAAGCAGUGCUCAGGGGGAAAUUUAUAGAUGUAAACAUCUGCAUUUUUAAAAAAGAAGAAAGAUCUCAAAUCCACAACCCAGCAUUCCACCUUAAGGAACUAGAAAAAGAAGAGCAAACUAACCACAAAGUAACUAGAAGUAAGGAAACAAUAAAGAUUAGAGCAGAGAUAAACAAAAUAGAGAAUAGAAAAACAAUAGAAUCAGUGUAAGUUUGGUCCUUUGAAGAGAUCAACAAAAUUAAACUUUUAGCUAGACUGACCCAGCAAAACAGAGAGAGGACUCAAAUUAAUAAAAUCAAGAAUGAAAAUGGAGACAUUACUUUCAAUCUUGCAUGAAUAGAAAGUUUAUAAGAGAAUGCUUUGAAAAAUGUACACCAACAAAUUGGAUAAACUGGAUAAAAUAGACACAUUCCUUGAAACACACAAAAACUAAAACUGACUAAAGAAUAAAUAGAAAAUUUGAAUAAACCUGUAACAAGUAAAAGGAUUGAUUCAGUUACCUGAAAACUUCCAACUAAUAAAAGCCCAGGAUCAGAUGGCUUCACUAGUGAAUUUUAUCAAACAUUUAAAGAAGAAUUAACACCAGUCCUCAAGCUCUUCAAAAAAAAAUGGAAGAGGAGAUAACACUACCUAACUCAUUGUGUGAGGCCAGUAUUACUUUGAUACCAAAGCCAGACAAAGAAAUCACAAUAAUAGAAAAUACAGACCAAUAUCCUUCAUGAAUAAAGAUGUAGGGGCUUCCCUGGUGGCACAGUGGUUGAGAGUCUGCCUGCUGAUGCAUGGGACACGGGUUUGAGCCCUGAUCUGGGAGGAUCCCACAUGCCGUGGAGCAACUGGGCCCGUGAGCCACAACUACUGAGCCUGCACGUCUGGAACCAUGCUCCGUAACGAGAGGCCGCGACAGUGAGAGGCCCAUGCACCGCGAUGAAGAGUGGCCCCCACUCACUACAACUGGAGAAAGCCCUCGCACAGAAACGAAGACCCAACAUGCCAAAAAAUUAAUUAAUUAAUUAAUUAAAAAAAAAAUAAAGACGUAAAAUUCCUCAACAAAAUAGUAGCAAAUGAAAUCCAGCUGCAUAUUAAAAGGAUUAUACACCAUGACCAAGUAGGAUUUAUUCCAGGAAUGUAAGGGUGCGUCAACAUGAAAAUCAGUCAGUGUAAUACACCAUAUUAUGAAAACGAAGGGGGGAAAGUCACAUAAUCAACUUGAUAGAUGGAGAAAAAGCAUUUGACAAAUUCCAGUACCCUUUCAUGGAAAAAAACAAAAAACCUGUAUUAAGUCAGGAAGAGACGGAAUGCUCCGCAACCUAAUAAAGGGCAUCAGUGAAAAAACUCACAGCUAACAUCAUGUUUGAAGCUUUCUCCCUAAAAUCAGGAACAAGACAAGGAUAUCUGCUUUCACACUUCUUUCCACUACCUAGCACUGGAAGUUCUAGUCAGAGCAAUUAGGCAAGAAAAAGAAAUAAAAGUCAUACAAAAUGGAAAAGAAGAAGUAAAGCUAUUUCUAUUCACAGAUGACAUAAUUUUAAAUAUCGAAAACCAUAAAGAAUCUAUUCAAAAACUAUUAGAGCUAAUAAAUGAAUUCAGCAUAAUUACAGGAUACAAGAUCACUUACAAAAAUCAGUUGUAUUUCUAUACUCUUCAAUGAACGACCUGAAAAUGAAAUUAAGAACACAGUUCUAUUUACAACAUCAUCAAAAAUAAUAAAAUACUUAAUAAAUUUAACUGAGGAGGUACAAGACUCAUAUACUGGAAACUGUAAAACACUGCUGAUAGAAAUUAAAGAGAACCUGAAUAAAUAAAAAGACAUUCUGUGUUCAUUGAUUGGAAGACAAUAUUGUUAAGAUGGCAAUAUUCCCUAAAUUUACAGAUUCAGUGCAAUCCCUAUCAAAAUUUCAAUUGCCUGUUUUCCAGAAAUGGAUAAGUUGAUCCUAAAAUCCAUAUAAAAUAGCAAGAGACCCAUAAUAGUCAAAACAAUCUUAAAAAGAACAAAGUUAGGGCUUUCCUGGUGGCGCAGUGGUUGAGAGUCUGCCUGCCAAUGUAGGGGACACGGGUUCAUGCCCCGGUCCAGGAAGAUCCAACAUGCUGCAGAGUGGCUAGGCCUGUGAGCCAUGGCCACUGAGCCUGUGCUGCACAACGGGAGAGGCCACGGCAGUGAGAGGCCCGCGUACCAAAAAAAAAAAAAAAAAGGAACAAAAUUAGAGGUCUCACAAUUCUAACCUCCAAAACUUACUACAGGGCUUCCCUGGUGGCACAGUGGUUGAGAAUCUGCCUGCUAAUGCAGGGGACAUGGGUUCGAGCCCGGUCCGGGAGGAUCCCACAUGCUGCAGAGCGACUAGGCCUGUGAGCCACAACUACUGAGCCUGCGCGUCUGGAGCCUGUGCUCCGCAACAAGAGAGGCAACAGUAGUGAGAGACCUGCGCACCGCGAUGAAGAGUGGCCCCGCUUGCCACAACUAGAGAAAGUCCUCACACAGAAAUGAAGACCCAACACAGCAAAAAUAAAUUAAUUAAUAAACUCCUACCCCCAACAUCUUCUAAAAAAAAAAAAAAAAAAACUACAAA